CUGGAAUUAUUACUCCAGAAGGUUAUUUUAAUGUAACUCCUUAGGCCUCAGGCCUUAUUAAAGGCAAAUUUGCACAUCAUGUACACAGUAAAUCCCUCAAGGAUAAUUGUAUUUUUAAAUAUAUCUGUUGAAUUUAAGUGGAUGUUAGAUAACAUAAAUGUAUUUUGAUGGGCUCUUUAAUCAUUGAUAAACUGACGUUUCUCUUCCUCCCCGUUUUCCUCUCUUUUUCUCCCUUUCUAACUCUAAGAAAGAGAGAGAUCGAGUCCUGGCUUUAUUAGAGAUUGACCAUUCUUUAAAUUUUGAGAAGGGGGUUUCACAGACUUUUUAAAUAAAUGGAAUUUUAAUUGGCUUCAUUGUUAAGAUAUGGACUCAGGGACAGGACUUGUAUUUUUAAAAAGAAUUUAAGGAGUCCUUUUGGGUCUUUUUAAGGAGAAAGGUGUGGUAAACAUAUUUUAAAUAAACUGAUUAAAUUGUGCCAAAAAGAAAAGCUGAUUUUGUUUCUAAAGGAAUUCAGGGGAAAACUGAGUAAUGCUAUGCAAAAGUGAGGCAUAGGGUUCAUCCACACGAGGUAUGUAGCUUGGAUAGAAGAGUGCUCUCUUUCCCCCAUAGAUCUGGCACCACUCAUGGCAAGCUUCUGUACUUGUUUUAAUUUUUUCUUGAAUGUAAUCUGGAUUCUUCUAAUUUGAAUUUCUGCAUUCUAAAACAUCUCCUGUCUUCCUCCUCUCACCUCUCUCUCUCUCCUUCCCUCUCACACACCUCUCCAUUCUCUGCCCCAUCUCCACCUCUUGUCUCUUUCCUUCCCACAGAGGGAGGCAGAGACAUAUGGACAGUGGGAAUCAUCGUGAUGACUAAUCUUCAGCCGUUUCAAAUCUUGCAUACAAGAUGCAUUUUGGCCUCAUUUUCUUUUGAAUUUUAGAACACACGUUGAAGUCACUUUGAAGUCAAAGUCACAGAGCCUGCCUGAACAUGAUAUUAUUGAUUUCCAUACAGCCUGCUUUUUCCGCAAUGCAGAUGUGCAUUUUCUUCAAACAUGUUUAGGAGGAGCCUUUGAUCUGGCUUAUUCACCACAGCAAUAUUAAAAACCAUCUAUAUACCGGUAUCUGGACUUAGAUUUGUGGAAAAGAUAGGCAUCCUGUUCAAAAGGAACAUGAACAAAGAUACAGUACUCCCGAAAGCUCUUUUCAGACUCUCUCAGCCUAAACAAUUUUCUGGAAUGAGGAAGUCAAAGGUCACCAACUGUCAAAACACAACAAAAAUGACACAACACUGAGGGUUAUUGGCAGAGUGGAGAAUUUCAAG
rnacentral:lncRNA from 1 species